rnacentral:rRNA from 1 species
UACAGAGGUCUCAAGCGUUGUUCGGAUUCAUUGGGCGUAAAGGGUGCGUAGGCGGCGCGGUAAGUCGGGUGUGAAAUCUUGGAGCUUAACUCCGAAACUGCAUUCGAUACUGCCGUGCUUGAGGACUGGAGAGGAGACUGGAAUUUACGGUGUAGCGGUGAAAUGCGUAGAUAUCGUAAGGAAGACCAGUGGCGAAGGCGGGUCUCUGGACAGUUCCUGACGCUGAGGCACGAAGGCCAGGGGGAGUAACGGAAAC